rnacentral:rRNA from 2 species
AUUAAUAAGCGGAGGAAAAGAAACCAACAGGGAUUCCCGUAGUAAGGGCGACUGAAACGGGACCAGCCCAGCGCAUAACCUCGCGGUCUAUUGCGGCCGUCGAGGGGUGUUGCGUACAGGUGGAUCCGUCCCGCUCGCGCCUCCCACCGCCUAAGUCAUUGCUUAAAAGCAGCCCAGAGCAGGGUGAAAGGCCCGUUUGGCGGCGCCUGUAAAAAGGGUUUAGGCGGCGCGGGCGGAGGGGUCUUACCGGAGAGUCGGGUUGCUUAGUACUGCAGCCCAAAGUAGGUGGUAAACUCCAUCUAAGGCUAAAUAUGACCACGAGUCCGAUAGAUAACAAGUACCGUGAGGGAAAGUUGAAAAGCACUCUGAAGAGAGAGUCAAGAGGACGUGAAACCACUGGAAGCGCAAACGGGUGGAACCGUGAAGGUCGAACGAGGAGGGAGAUUCAGCCCGAGGCCGGUCGGCGGCUGCUGCGACUCGCACGAGCAAGACCCGACGCCAAGCAGUCGGGCCCCGUGGCAGCCGUGCGGCCGUGUCCGCGGGUAUAGUUCUCCCCGAUCUAGUAGCACGUCGCGAGCUGCCGGGCUCCUGCCCCCGAUGGCCGUCACGGAUUGGUAGCCACGGUCCCUCGGGGCCGUGGCGAAUACCGAGGCGGUGCUGACGGGGUGGCCCGGCAGACCCUGCAAGGAGGUUCCGUGAGAAAGCUCUCGCGGCGGUGAAUCGGUCUCCCACCUGA